GGGCCGAUAGCUCAGUUGGCAGAGCGCCUGUUUUGCAUACAGGAGGUCAGCGGUUCGAAACCGCUUCGGUCCACCU
rnacentral:tRNA from 1 species